UGGCUAUACAUCACAGUCUCCAGCCACUAUCGAGCGACACUGUUGAGACAUCCUGCAGUCUUUGGCAGAAGCCAUCGAUGUAACCUCCGCCAUCUACAAAAUGAUAUUACAACUGCUUGAUUUUAUGGUCCAGAGCAUUUGCGAUUUUUUAAGAGAACUCUUAGUAGUUAAAGUGCAAUCCAAUUGCUGGAUCAAUGUUCCAACCAGAUUCUCUCUCUCCAAGGCUUGGUUGACCCUAUGCAAUACCUGGUGAACUCUACUAAUGAGCAUCAAGGCGGACACUGAACGUCACGGCCACCUACUACAGCCGUUAAGGUUGUGAUUUCAGCAACUAUGUUAUACCGGCAGAUUUUGGCAAAAAUGGAGCUUUCUCUGGGCUCUGGGAAAUGGUUGUCUGGGUACACAGAAUAAUUGCUUUCUAAAAUUUUUUGCUCUGCUGUUAUGGCCAUUUCAUGUUCCCUUGGGGAAU
rnacentral:lncRNA from 1 species